UACGUAGGGUGCGAGCGUUAAUCGGAAUUACUGGGCGUAAAGCGUGCGCAGGCGGCUUUGCAAGACAGAUGUGAAAUCCCCGGGCUCAACCUGGGAACUGCAUUUGAAACUGGCCAACUAGAGUAUGUGAGAGGGGGGUAGAAUUCCAAGUGUAGCGGUGAAAUGCGUAGAGAUUUGGAGGAACACCAAUGGCGAAGGCAAUCCCCUGGGCCUGUACUGACGCUCAUGCACGAAAGCGUGGGGAGCAAACAGG
rnacentral:rRNA from 1 species